rnacentral:rRNA from 1 species
UACAGAGGGGGCAAGCGUUGUUCGGAAUUACUGGGCGUAAAGGGCGCGUAGGCGGCCUUCUAAGUCGAACGUGAAAUCCCCGGGCUCAACCCGGGAACUGCGUCCGAGACUGAAAGGCUUGAAUCCGGGAGAGGGAUGUGGAAUUCCAGGUGUAGCGGUGAAAUGCGUAGAUAUCUGGAGGAACAUCGGUGGCGAAGGCGGUCUGCUGGGCCGUUGCUGACGCUGAGGCGCGACAGCGUGGGGAGCAAACAGG